GAUGAACGCUGGCGGCGUGCCUAAUACAUGCAAGUAGAACGCUGAAGGAGGAGCUUGCUCUUCUGGAUGAGUUGCGAACGGGUGAGUAACGCGUAGGUAACCUGCCUGGUAGCGGGGGAUAACUAUUGGAAACGAUAGCUAAUACCGCAUGACAACAGUUAUUGCAUGAUAACUGUUUAAAAGGGGCAACUGCUCCACUACCAGAUGGACCUGCGUUGUAUUAGCUAGUUGGUGAGGUAACGGCUCACCAAGGCGACGAUACAUAGCCGACCUGAGAGGGGGAGCGGCCACACUGGGACUGGGACACGGCCCAGACUCCUAAGGGAGGCAGCAGUAGGGAAUCUUCGGCAAUGGACGGAAGUCUGACCGAGCAACGCCGCGUGAGUGAAGAAGGUUUUCGGAUCGUAAAGCUCUGUUGUAAGAGAAGAACGAGUGUGAGAGUGGAAAGUUCACACUGUGACGGUAUCUUACCAGAAAGGGACGGCUAACUACGUG
rnacentral:rRNA from 1 species